CCAGAGUUUGAUCCUGGCUCAGGACGAACGCUGGCGGCGUGCUUAACACAUGCAAGUCGAACGGAAAGGCCCUGCUUUUGUGGGGUGCUCGAGUGGCGAACGGGUGAGUAACACGUGAGUAACCUGCCCUUGACUUUGGGAUAACUUCAGGAAACUGGGGCUAAUACCGGAUAGGAGCUCCUGCUGCAUGGUGGGGGUUGGAAAGUUUCGGCGGUUGGGGAUGGACUCGCGGCUUAUCAGCUUGUUGGUGGGGUAGUGGCUUACCAAGGCUUUGACGGGUAGCCGGCCUGAGAGGGUGACCGGCCACAUUGGGACUGAGAUACGGCCCAGACUCCUACGGGAGGCAGCAGUGGGGAAUAUUGCACAAUGGGCGGAAGCCUGAUGCAGCAACGCCGCGUGCGGGAUGACGGCCUUCGGGUUGUAAACCGCUUUCGCCUGUGACGAAGCGUGAGUGACGGUAAUGGGUAAAGAAGCACCGGCUAACUACGUGCCAGCAGCCGCGGUGAUACGUAGGGUGCGAGCGUUGUCCGGAUUUAUUGGGCGUAAAGGGCUCGUAGGUGGUUGAUCGCGUCGGAAGUGUAAUCUUGGGGCUUAACCCUGAGCGUGCUUUCGAUACGGGUUGACUUGAGGAAGGUAGGGGAGAAUGGAAUUCCUGGUGGAGCGGUGGAAUGCGCAGAUAUCAGGAGGAACACCAGUGGCGAAGGCGGUUCUCUGGGCCUUUCCUGACGCUGAGGAGCGAAAGCGUGGGGAGCGAACAGGCUUAGAUACCCUGGUAGUCCACGCUGUAAACGGUGGGUACUAGGUGUGGGGUCCAUUCCACGGGUUCCGUGCCGUAGCUAACGCUUUAAGUACCCCGCCUGGGGAGUACGGCCGCAAGGCUAAAACUCAAAGGAAUUGACGGGGCCCCGCACAAGCGGCGGUGCAUGCGGAUUAAUUCGAUGCAACGCGUAGAACCUUACCUGGGUUUGACAUGGAUCGGGAGCGCUCAGAGAUGGGUGUGCCUCUUUUGGGGUCGGUUCACAGGUGGUGCAUGGCUGUCGUCAGCUCGUGUCGUGAGAUGUUGGGUUAAGUCCCGCAACGAGCGCAACCCUUGUUCACUGUUGCCAGCACGUUAUGGUGGGGACUCAGUGGAGACCGCCGGGGUCAACUCGGAGGAAGGUGGGGAUGACGUCAAGUCAUCAUGCCCCUUAUGUCCAGGGCUUCACGCAUGCUACAAUGGCUGGUACAGAGAGUGGCGAGCCUGUGAGGGUGAGCGAAUCUCGGAAAGCCGGUCUCAGUUCGGAUUGGGGUCUGCAACUCGACCUCAUGAAGUCGGAGUCGCCAGUAAUCGCAGAUCAGCAACGCUGCGGUGAAUACGUUCCCGGGGCUUGUACACACCGCCCGUCAAGUCAUGAAAGUUGGUAACACCCGAAGCCGGUGGCCUAACCGUUGUGGGGGAGCCGUCGAAGGUGGGACUGGUGAUUAGGACUAAGUCGUAACAAGGUAGCCGUA
rnacentral:rRNA from 1 species